rnacentral:tRNA from 1 species
AGCCCCGUCGUCUAGAAACUUUGCAGAUGUGUGCUUAGGACAAAGUUUCAUCAAAGGUCCUGAGUUAGACCCUGGUCAAGGAUAGCGGGUUCUGGUCCCGUUGACAUCGGUUCGAAUCCGGUCGGGGCUA